UACGUAGGGUGCAAGCGUUGUCCGGAAUUAUUGGGCGUAAAGAGCUCGUAGGCGGCUUGUCGCGUCUGCUGUGAAAACCCGAGGCUCAACCUCGGGCCUGCAGUGGGUACGGGCAAGCUAGAGUGCGGUAGGGGAGAUUGGAAUUCCUGGUGUAGCGGUGGAAUGCGCAGAUAUCAGGAGGAACACCGAUGGCGAAGGCAGGUCUCUGGGCCGAUACUGACGCUGAGGAGCGAAAGCGUGGGGAGCGAACAGG
rnacentral:rRNA from 1 species